CACGUAGUUAGCCGUGGCUUAUUCAAGAGGUACCGUCUUCUGCUCUUCCCUCUUAAAAGAAGUUUACAACCCGAAAGCCUUCUUCCUUCGCGCGGCGUUGCUGGGUCAGGCUUGCGCCCAUUGCCCAAUAUUCCCCACUGCCUGCCUCCCGUAGGAGUCUGGGCCGUAUCUCAGUCCCAAUGUGGCCGGUCAACCUCUCAGUCCGGCUACUGAUCGUCGCCUAGGUGGGCCGUUACCCCGCCUACUAGCUAAUCAGACGCGAGGCCAUCUUCCAGCGAUAAAUCUUUGACAUUCAAACCAUGCGAUUCAAAUGUGUCAUGCGGUAUUAGCAGUCGUUUCCAACUGUUGUCCCCCUCUGGAAGGCAGGUUCCUCACGCGUUACUCACCAGUCCGCCACUAAGCAUUCCUCUCCAUUGUCCGAAAACUCUUUCAAGGGUGCUCCGUUCGACUUGCAUGUGUUAAAGCACGCCGCCAGCGUCGUCUCGUCGUACGACGACGUACGUAACUACU
rnacentral:rRNA from 1 species